AGCAGAAGCUGACCUUGAACCCGGCUCUGCCCAACCACUACACCUACACCAUGCACUCUCAAAGCUCCAGAAGGCUCCAGAAGAGAGUCAGGAUACACCCAUAGGGAUCCGCAAGUAAAAGGCAGGAUGUGGGGAGGGCUUCUGGACGCAGUGGCAGUCACACUAACGGCCAGCCUUUAUUAAAUGCUUAUUGGACGCUAGUCCCUGUGCUCAGAGCUUCAUACAGCCUCGCACAGGAGCUGCGCCUGGGGAGUGGGUACGAUUUGGGCAGGUGGAAAUGGGGGCAGGCGCGCUUUCUUACUUGAAGAUGACAAAAAAGUGUCCGUGUGCUCGACACCCUGGGGAGGCAGCUGUGACUCAAAGCUGGAACGGGGCCCGCUUUGCGGCGGCCUCCAGAGCUGGAAUACAGGAGGCACACCUUGGUACACCCGGGUGUUUCAUCACCUCCCUCCGUUCAUCCUGAAUUCCAUCCCAGCAAGAUCUGCUGAUGUCCACCACCGUUCCCCGGCCCGCACAUCCCCACUGUGUUCCCGCCCAGUUCCCCCUCGGGAAGACGGAGGCUAGGUAGCGAACAAGAUGAGCAUCCUGGUAACUGAGGGAUGAGUGAGAGGGGAGGGUGAGAACUGCCUUGUUGCAACAGAGCAGCCACCCUGCACCUACCAGAGGCACGUUUUCUGGGACACUUGGCAGGACGUUCUGUGUGCCUUAGCAUUUCAAAAAACAAGGCGAGGAACCAGAGCGUUUGCGUCGUCGCUUUCAUUUCAUAAACAUGUGGUGAGCACCUACUGUGUGCCAAGCACUGCAGUGGGCGAGAAGAUGCAGAGAUGAGACUUGUCGUCCUGGCUUCAGGGAACUGAUGUGGCAUCACGAGGACUGAGAGGCAGUGAGCACAGGGACUGGACACCUAGCCUACCCUGGGGGCUAGCGAACUAGCACCAGGACUCAGCCCACCCCAUUUUCAGCUUGAAAAAUGAGCUGGAGGAGACCGGGAAGUUUGCUGAGGUCAGAAGGUAAAUCGGCAGCCCGUCUCCAUGCCGACCCACCUUCCCCAACCUGCCAGUGCCCACAUCAUUCAGGCUCGAUCAGCAGCUCCUCACCGAGCCUGGAGCCCACCGUCCGUGAUGCUUGCCUGAAGAGUCCCCAUCAUUCCUCAGGAGCCCCAGUGAUGAUCCUGGGCCAGGUCGGCUGCGACAGCCAGCACCAAAUUCUUGGGCAGGACACAGACCCCGGACAGCAGGUCAUAAAUACCCAUCAGUUCCUUCCUGCUUUGAUGCCCAGCUUCCUCUGCGAGGUGGAGAGAUGGAAGCCACAAAGGCCAGAUCCUGCCAAAGCCUGCACAUGGAGGUCCUUUCAGGAGAGACCGGGGGGAACCAGAUGCAGCUCAAAAGUGGACACUGGCAACUCUGAACUCUUCUUUUCAAGAAAACUCCUCAGAGCCUACCAGCUUCAAAACUGGCAUCGGGAAAUGGCAGGGAACACUGUCAUGAUGGAUGAUGCCAUGAAGGUGUCACCGGGCAGGUCUGGUGUUUUCAGUGCACAGAACAACACGUGAGAAAGCUCAGCAAAACCCAUGAUGCAACCAAGAACGAAGAUAUAACACAGACCACGAGGGAUCUCUUCUCUCCCGUCCAACCAAACAAACUCAGAAACACACAGAUUCAGAAAUCAUCCGUGUCAGCAGACUCCUCCGGUCAGCACGCACGUAUUUACGUUUGGUUUGUGUUUUCUAGAACUCCAGGUUCCAGCUCCCAGUUCGCAUAGCUGCUAAGUGCCGCUGGAACAGGACCUAAGAGUCAGCCCAGACCCAGGGGGAAGAAGGAGAGUGACCAAAACCCUACAAAGCCAGCACCUCCACCAGCCUGCCCCCUAGUUACCCUGCACAGAAGACACGGCCUGAACCAAUGGUGUCCCAACAUCUGGUCCGUUUCUUUAUUCCUGCUAUUUUUUUUUAAAUCAGUUCUGAUUUCAGCACAAUAAAUCUUUGAAGGGUCGAUUGCUUUCAAGACAAUCCCUCCGUGGUAUAGCUGUGAAUAGGAUCAAAAAGGGUAACGAUGGAAUGGUGAUAUUGUAAGUUCCUAACUGAAGGAAAAGAAAAAAGCUAGGGAGAUGUCUGUGUCCUGAAAAAAGGAAAGAAGGGGGAAAAACAAAAGACAAGUGUGGAAAUCUGUUCAUUUGGAAUGGCGAGAGCAGGAGAGAGGCCUCAUCAUUUUGGAUCUCCAUCUGGUGCCUAAACCCCAAAAUCCUUUCAUUCGAAUGUCCGUGUAUGCACAGGGCUAUUUAUUAAUCACCUCCUGUCUGCCAGGCCACAUUGGGUGUCUUUGUCGGGUGAGGAAAGGGAGGAGAGUUGGAGGAAAUUUUAGGAGGCCAUCCCAGGAAGUCUCACUUGAGAAAACAUCUGGAUUUUCCACAUCUCUAGUGCAAACAAUUUUAUUAAAUGAUGUGCAUCGUGUCCUAAGGUAGAACUCUUUGGGAGCCUGACGCAAACAAACAAACAAAACAAACAUGAAAUACACAAGACCCCAAACUCUGGCAAUGAGGUGCACUUACUACCGUGGUCCUUCACAAAGGCGCAGAUGGCGAGUUGCAGGGGUUUGUUUUUUUUUUUCAGAAUCCACUUUCCGGUAAACAAUCGAAAUGGUAUAUGAAGACCCCAGACCCUUCUUCUGCCCUUUUCCCCCUGCCCACCCCCACCAGACAUGUACCCUCAUCAAAAUGACACCCCCCCCAAGAAACUUCCAAAUCUUCGUU